CACUGUGUUGCAUUGCUGAUCUGCAUCGCUGUCCUGCAUCACUGCCCUGCAGUGCAGGCAGGGUGAGCAGCACUGCCCAAGAGAAAGCCUUCCCAAUGCCUCCUGCUAGUGUUUUCUGCUUCCACAUAUCAAUGAACAUUUAUUUAUCCAAUUGGGCAGACUGAAAAUCUGCAGUUCUGCAAAGAAAUGGAAACUUUCUGCUACAACCCACCUAGUUGCGGAAUGGAAACAGGGUGAGAGGGCAAGCAGCGUGCUUCUAUCUCAAGGCAGUUUCUCAGACAUCAUUUCCCUCUUCGGCUGCCCCUGUCGAGUAGGGAACCGGACCUCUGCUGGCCCAAGAGCUCCGGGGCUCGGGGCUCAGCGCGAUCUCUGCUGCCCCCGCCCGGGCAGCGCCGUGCUCAGGCGCAAAGCCGGGCUUUUAGAAGGGAUUGGGACGGGGACGCACCAGAGCGAGUUGUGCUCGCCCGCGGCUGCUCCCUGUUCGGCACUUUUGGGGUUUAGGACGAUGUUUUGCUCUUAGUUGAAGCUCUCCAUGCGAGGAUCUCAAAACGCUCAUCGUUAGUCCUCCUAAAAGCCCGUUUCCUAGGAAAGCCUUGCUCAACCUGAAGAUAAAACACAGCCUCGAGCCCUGCUUUGAAUUCAGACCUUUAGGCAGACGUGAUUCCAUCAUAUGGUAGCUGGGAAACCAGAAAUUUAGAUCAAUAUGGUUUUGUUCUCCGGUGGUGCUUGCAGAGCAGCUGCACAAACACUUGUGCCAGCGGCAGGGAGCAGUCGGGGUAGAGCUGGCAGGAGGCAGAAGCAGGAGGGACUGCCUCUUUUCAUUAUAGGUGCUGGAUGAAGACAUACGUGAAACUUCAGCUUUAAACCGAUUAUGCCUCAGCUCUUUACCUGUGGGAACAGAGUUAAUAAUCUACGAUUACUUUCCUGUCCUGUUGCCUGCUAUUACCUCUGCUACGCUACAAUGAAGCACCAGCUUUAGCUAAAACUCCUCUGCACUUCUAUAAUAACUGCAGCUGCAGUUGCAAAACCUACUCCAAAUUGCAUUCUUCAGAGUGAAACAUGAAGUCCAUUGAUAGCUUAGCUAACUAUAUGUGAACUCUAAUUUUGUAUGUUUAGCUAAGAAAAUGUUUUCUUGCAUACUUCUGCUCUCUGAGAACAACGUGAAAUAAAAAUAUCUGUCUUCUAAAUACCCAGCCCCAGACUUCCUGACUGACCCACUAUGAACCACUGCUGCUCUGCACACAUUAUUUCCUCUCUUUGAAAGAAAAAGAAAAAAGAAAACACAGAAAAAAUUACCCACAAUCUGGCAACACCUUGCUUUUCCAUUUGC